rnacentral:rRNA from 1 species
CCGUAGCCCAAGAGAUCGGGAUAACACCUGGAAACAGAUGCUAAUACCGGAUAACAACAGAUGAUGCCUAUCAACUGUUUAAAGAUGGUUCUGCUAUCACUCUUGGAUGGACCUGCGGUGCAUUAGCUAGUUGGUAGGGUAACGGCCUACCAAGGCGAUGAUGCAUAGCCGAGUUGAGAGACUGAUCGGCCACAUUGGGACUGAGACACGGCCCAAACUCCUACGGGAGGCAGCAGAC